rnacentral:sRNA from 1 species
CCGGCCUCAGUCUGUUGUGUCGAGCAUCUCACCCUCCUGCGAGUCAGGUCCUGACGGGCUGCUCACCCUCCGCCCACGGCCCUCCUCUGUAUCUGACUUGGCAGCUGGGGUGGGGCUGGGCUUCCACCUUUGAUCCCGGCUGGUCUUUUGCUGUGAUGGAUGACUGAUGACAAUGACAGGGACAGGGCUGCACUGGGAGGGAAGGUGGCAGGGCCAGAGAAGUGCAGGUCUCCUCAGGUGGCGCUAGUCCAGCGCGGGGCCUCGCGGCCUCCUCUUCUCUUGCCAGUGUCCUGGAGAAGAAGAGGCGGCUCCUGGAGAAGCUGCAGGAGCAGCUGGCGCAGCUGAGUGUGCAGGCCACGGACAAGGAGGAGAACAAGCAGGUGGCCCUGGGCACGUCCAAGCUCAACUACCUGGACCCCAGGAUCAGCAUUGCCUGGUGCAAGCGGUUCAGGGUGCCAGUGGAGAAGAUCUACAGCAAAACACAGCGGGAGAGGUUCGCCUGGGCUCUCGCCAUGGCAGGAGAAGACUUUGAAUUCUAACGACGAGCCGUGUUGAAACUUCUUUUGUAUGUGUGUGUGUUUUUUUCACUAUUAAAGCAGUACUGGGGAAUUUUGUACAAUAAAA